AUGUGCCUCAAAAAUGAGAGAAUGGGUCAAAGAAUAUUGGAGCAAAAGAUACUUAUUUCGAAACUUGAGGCAGAAAAAGAAGAUCUCCCUAUCUUUCCUUUAUUUUGGGGGAGAAAGUUGGUUGCUGGAAGUGCGAUUGAAGGGUUGAAAGAGACUCAAGAGAUAAUUGAUUUUUAUGUUAAACACAAUAUAAAACCUGAAAUCGAAGUCAUCCCUAUAGAUUAUGUUAACACUGCAAUGAAGCGAAUCCUCAAAGCAGAUGUCAAAUAUCGAUUCGUGAUUGACAUUGGAAAUACUUUGAAACCAAAUUCUUAA